CAUCUAGGCGGCCUAUUAAGUCAGAAGUGAAAUACCGGGGCUCAACCCCGGGACUGCUUUUGAAACUGAUUCGCUAGAAUACGGGAUAGGAGGGCGGAACUACAAGUGUAGAGGUGAAAUUCGUAGAUAUUUGUAGGAAUGCCGAUGACGAAGGUAGCUCUCUGGACCGACAUUGACGCUGAAGUGCGAAAGCUAGGGUAGCAAACA
rnacentral:rRNA from 1 species